CCAGGUUGGUGGUGGUGGCUGAUUGUUGUGUAUGUGGCUGUUGCAGCUCUCAUAAUCAUCACUGUGGUUGUUGCAGCUCUCAUAAUCAUCACUGUGGCUGUCCUCAGAUGGAAGAGAGCUAAAGGGAACAAAACACAGACGGAGGUUGAAAACAUGGCUGAUCCUGAAGGUGGUGUUUCCUACGCCUCCAUCAGCUACACCAAGAAGACCAACAGGAGAGCCCAGGCUUGGGGUGGAGAUGAUGAUGAAGAUGAUGCAGUGACCUACAGCACCGUGAAAGCUCCCUCUUCCUCUGCUGCUGCUGCAGCCUCUGCUGAUCUCAGCAACCUCUACGCCACCAUCAACGAACCCAAAAAAUAAGAGCACGAUGUAGUUAACAGUUUGUAUCAUUACAGUUGUAUUCGGUUACUUGAUAUGGACGAAAGAUAGGAUAAACAAAUGAUUAGCUCAGAGUCAAGAGAUGUGUGCACAUUGUUCUAUAACUAUGGCCGAGGCAUUUCUCAAUAAGAGCAACAGGCUGAUCUUGUAUGGACUAAAGCUAAAAAGCUUACAUUUAAGAUGAUAAAAUAGAAAUACUGUAUAUUACUGAGAAUUAUGUUGUGCUGUGUAUAUAAUUUAUCUAAAAAGGUUAUGUGCCCAGCUGAGAUCUCUGUAUUUUACCAUUUACUGUUGGAACUUUGGUAAGUAUGUUAAAAACAGAUAUUGAUUCUUCU
rnacentral:lncRNA from 1 species